CCGCCUGCGGCAUGCCUAUAAUGCAAGUCGAGCGAAUGGAUUAAGAGCUUGCUCUUAUGAAGUUAGCGGCGGACGGGUGAGUAACACGUGGGUAACCUGCCCAUAAGACUGGGAUAACUCCGGGAAACCGGGGCUAAUACCGGAUAACAUUUUGAACCGCAUGGUUCGAAAUUGAAAGGCGGCUUCGGCUGUCACUUAUGGAUGGACCCGCGUCGCAUUAGCUAGUUGGUGAGGUAACGGCUCACCAAGGCAACGAUGCGUAGCCGACCUGAGAGGGUGAUCGGCCACACUGGGACUGAGACACGGCCCAGACUCCUACGGGAGGCAGCAGUAGGGAAUCUUCCGCAAUGGACGAAAGUCUGACGGAGCAACGCCGCGUGAGUGAUGAAGGCUUUCGGGUCGUAAAACUCUGUUGUUAGGGAAGAACAAGUGCUAGUUGAAUAAGCUGGCACCUUGACGGUACCUAACCAGAAAGCCACGGCUAACUACGUGCCAGAGGGGAAAAAUGUACAG
rnacentral:rRNA from 1 species